rnacentral:rRNA from 1 species
AUUGAACGCUGGCGGCAUGCCUUACACAUGCAAGUCGAACGGCAGCACGGGAGCAAUCCUGGUGGCGAGUGGCGAACGGGUGAGUAAUAUAUCGGAACGUGCCCAGUCGUGGGGGAUAACGCAGCGAAAGCUGUGCUAAUACCGCAUACGAUCUAAGGAUGAAAGCGGGGGAUCGCAAGACCUCGCGCGAUUGGAGCGGCCGAUAUCAGAUUAGCUAGUUGGUGGGGUAAAGGCCCACCAAGGAGAAGAUAUGUAUCAUGUAUUAGAGGACGAUCUUCCUCUGUUUUUUUGUUUCUUGGUCCAGACUCCUACGGGAGGCAGCAGUGGGGAAUUUUGGACAAUGGGCGCAAGCCUGAUCCAGCAAUGCCGCGUGCAGGAUGAAGGCCUUCGGGUUGUAAACUGCUUUUGUACGGAACGAAACGGCCCUUUCUAAUACAGGGGGCUAAUGACGGUACCGUAAGAAUAAGCACCGGCUAACUACGUGCCAGCCGCCGCCGUAA